rnacentral:rRNA from 1 species
GUGCAGCAGUCGAGAAAACUUUACAAUGCGGGAAAACCGUGAUAAGGGAACCUCGAGUGCUGGCGCAUAGCGUCGGCUGUCCAGAUGCCUAAAAAGCAUCUGAUAGCAAGGGCCGGGCAAGACCGGUGCCAGCCGCCGCGGUAACACCGGCGGCUCGAGUGGUGGCCACGUUUAUUGGGUCUAAAGCGUCCGUAGCCGGCUCGGCAAGUCCCCUGGGAAAUCUGGCGGCUCAACCGGUCAGGCGUCCAGAGGAUACUGCUGGGGCUUGGGGACCGGGAGAGGUGAGAGGGUACC